AUGGAGUCAUUAUCUGGGUUUCCAUUACAUUUUUAAGCAAAAUAAAAGUGAUAUUUGUACAAUUUUGACAAAGUAUAUUUACAACUUGUAGGUGUUUCCAUUGAAGAGUGUUUGGAUUCUGAUCUGUGAUUCUA